UACAGAGGGUGCAAACGUUGUUCGGAAUUACUGGGCGUAAAGCGUGUGUAGGCGGCCUCGUAGGUCGGAUGUGAAAGCUCUCGGCUCAACCGGGAAAGUGCAUUCGAAACCACUAGGCUAGAGUACCGGAGAGGAAGGCGGAAUUGUCGGUGUAGAGGUGAAAUUCGUAGAUAUCGAAAGGAACACCUGCGGCGAAAGCGGCCUGCUGGACGAACACUGACGCUGAGACACGAAAGCGUGGGGAGCGAACAGG
rnacentral:rRNA from 1 species